ensembl:lncRNA
UCUAAAACCUGCAGGACACCGGCCCUCGAGGCCUGGAGUUGGAGACCCCUGAUUUAAAUAAAUCAGGGACACAUUUAAAAGUUUCAGGACACUGGCCCUCGAGUUUGACACCUGCGCUCUACAGGAAGCUGUGAGGCUGAUGCCGCCGGUCACACUUUAUGAAAAAUUGUGGUUCAGCGUCUGUCCACACGGGGGAGCUGCAGGAGGACUGAUAGACUGAAGAUCUGCUUUGUGGGCUGGACCUCUGCAGACACCAGAAUGAAAGCAGAACCUGCAUUUUGACUCUCACAGUGCCUCCCUGAGGUUUGACUGAGUCACAAUAGUUUAUGAUCCAGCUGCAUGUUGGAGGUCAAAGGUCAGCUGCUGGCUGUUAGAGGUCAGGUCUUUGGGUCAGUCUGAAUGUGACAAACACACUGCGUCACUUGCUGAGGAGUCGAGUCCCAGAUCAGUUCCAGACGCUAGCCCUCGAGCAGAGAGGGUUGGUGGUCUGUGCUGUGGCUCAAGUGCAGGUUGAGAUCACAAGAAGACCUGCGAGCUGCUGACGUUACACGUGUAUGACGAUGUGAAGAGAAGGAAGCUGAAUGCAGAGGUGGCGCUCUCCGCCUCUGCCGCCGGGCCAUGUUACACCACAGUUCAAGAGGUGGGCGAUGAACGUGUCACAGGUGCAACUCACCUGACCUGACUACACCUGAGUGUGUGGUCAGGUGAGUCUGAGGAGGACCUGUGUCCGUCACAUGUCUGCUGGGACUCUGCAGACACACACGUGUUGAUGCAGAUGUAAAAACCUCGAUGUUUGGAAAUGCUGAGCUGGAUUUGAUACAAACCUUCUGCUGUUUUUAUUUUUGUUUCAUUCUUUAUUUUCUGUAACAGAAUGAAAUAAAUCAGGUUACAUUGUUUUCAUUUGUCAGUGAUGACAGUCAUGCACCUGAGGGCAUCAUCAAACUGUUUUAAUCUGUCCCAAACAUUUGCACAGAUGUAACAUUAUCUACAGCUGCUCUCAGUACCACUGAUGUUAAUUUAGGGUCUUUCUCUCCAGCUGAUCUGAGUUAACUUGAUUAACUACCACCAGCUGCUUCAGCCUGUUCUUUUCUGUAAUUCCACCUUGUAUCACAUGGUGGUGCAGUGAGUCAC